UACAGAGGUGGCAAGCGUUGUUCGGAAUUACUGGGCGUAAAGGGCGCGUAGGCGGCCUUCUAAGUCAGACGUGAAAUCCCCCGGCUUAACCUGGGAACUGCGUCUGAUACUGGGAGGCUUGAGUAUGGGAGAGGGAUGUAGAAUUCCAGGUGUAGCGGUGAAAUGCGUAGAUAUCUGGAGGAAUACCGGUGGCGAAGGCGGCAUCCUGGACCAUAACUGACGCUGAGGCGCGAAAGCUAGGGGAGCCAAACGGG
rnacentral:rRNA from 1 species